rnacentral:lncRNA from 1 species
UUUUUUUUUUUUUUUUUUUUUUUAAAGAUUUAUUUAUUAUUAUAUGUAAGUACACUGUAGCUGUCUUCAGACAGACCAGAAGAGGGCAUCAGAUCUCGUUACAGAUGGUUGUGAGCCACCAUGUGGUUGCUGGGAUUUGAACUCUGGACCUUCGGAAGAGCAGUCGGGUGCUCUUACCCACUGAGCCAUCUCACCAGCCCUUUUUGCUACAUUUUGUUCUUGCUACCCUUCUGAAGGAACUCAAAUCUUUACAAUGUUCCAUGCUUUAUUCCCUCAGAGGCAGGACUCCAUCAGACUACAGUUCCAGAAUUCCCAAACUUAAUUAAAUACUUAUGUUGUCUGGGUUUCCUUUCCUGGUGGAUCCAGUCUUAAAUGCUUCUCCAAGUGGCUCCUACUCUAGAUGCGGUUUGACCUCUCUCCCUGCUCUGGAGCAGCCUCUGUAGUGCAGACACUGGGUGUACCCUUGAGAGCAGGUGACAGUUAGGGAACAGGUGUCCCAAUAGCCAUCAAGUCUUUGUAUUUACAUCAGAACAGGGACGGAAGUGGGUGUGAUUUGUGGGUUGACUACAGGAGUGAAUGGCUUCUGACUAUUGUAGAAGAACCAAGGAUGCUGUCUGGUGCCAAGAUCAACCUCUUUACAGCUCUGUCCCCUGCUUGCCUUCCAACAGUCGGCAGGGACCUGGCCCAGGACUCUGGAGUUAUGACCUUACCAGUUGAGCUGGGCUAGCUGCCCCCGAAAGGCUUCUGGCACUGGAGACAGUAUAAAGGAUGACUGCCUCUGGGGUUCUGGGUGCCUUCUCCAGAGUUUUUCAUUGUCUAGGGCGGUGCUAGUAAGGGGUAGCCAGUACUUUCCAGGGAAGCACUUGGAGACCUUCAAGUAAGAAGGCCUUUCAGAGGACAGUAGUGGGUGGCAUUAAAAGCCCCCGUGUAUGACAUGUGACAAGGGCUCUGACAUCAGCACCAGUGACCAGCCCUGGAAAUUGGAAUGUUGUCUCUGUGAUUCCUUCCUGCUUAGAGAAUUCACACUUAGCUCCUGGCAGAGGCAUAUCACAGAAAGCAAACAUCAGGCCACACCUACAAGGGGCCUCUGGGAUCACUGAAGGCAUGGGAUCAAGCAUAGUCAGGGAGCCUUGCCGGGGCUUCCGGGAUUGAUGCUAGGCCUACAUGGGUGGGCGAGGGACCACGUCCAGUACCAGGUAGAGGGCAGAGUGUCACCACGGAGUCAUUGCCUGUGGGACAGGAAUGGUGAGUGAGGUGGGCAUGGCCACUGGAGGGUCUCCAGGGCAGGACCUUGCCCUUGGACUCUGAUGAACACAGGUCAAGGUCACACUCUCCUUGCCUUAGGUAUGCAGAAGUGACCCUUGGGACCUCUAGGUUUUUUGAAGAGGCGCCUUAGUUUGAAUCAAAGUCUCAGAGCCCAUGGUUGAAAGGACUUGUGUUUGUUGUCAGGAGGAAGGGAGCUCACCUUAAUGUCUUCUACAUUGGUCCCCUGGCUCCAGGCUCUUGUUUCUUAUUUAAGUUAUGUAUAUGAGUAUGUAUGUGUAUGUGGCUAUAUCUUCAGACACACCAGAAAAGGGCAUUAGAUCCCAUUACAGAUGGUUGUGAGCCACCAUGUGGUUGCUGGGAAUUGAACUCAGGACCUCUGGAAGAGCAGACAGUGCUCUUAACCGCUGAGCCAUCUCUCCAGCCCUCUAUUAUUAUUAUUUUUUUUAAAGAUUUAGGGUUUUUUAUGGGUAUGAGUGUUUUGCCUACAUGUAUGCAUGUGCAUUAUAUGCAUGCCUGCCUUCAGGGUCAGAAGAGGGUGCCAGAGAGCCUGAAUCUAGAAUGAUGAACAAUUGUGAGCUGCCCAAAAGGAUGCUGGGAACUGAGCCAGGGUCCUAUGAAGAGCAGCCAGUGCUCAGGACUGCUGAGCCAUCAGUCUAGUCCCUGGGCUCUGCUCUUAACAGGGCUGCCCAGGAGUCUCCAGGGCAACUAAUUGCUUGCAUAUGGUCAGGCUCUCUAGUGAACCCGGGUAUACAAUAGCUUUAUGCUGAAUCCCAAAGGCUGCUUUGCCUCCUGAUACAGACAAGGCUGUCUCCACCUAUGAUUUAGACAUCACAGAGCCCUGGGAAGUAUGCAGCCUCCGCUACUGCAGCUCCCGCUAUAAAUGACACAAAUGAUCCAGGAACGAGGAUGAUUCUAUCAGGGACCCCAUGAGUCACCAUCUGCAGUCUGUAUUUCCCAGAAGAUUAUAAACAAAACUGGAAUACAUUUGCUUACUAGACCCUGACUGAGAACGGGCCAUGAUUCGCCCAAUGGCCAUGACUCAUUUGUCAACUGAUGACAUCAGGUCAGUCAGGGUGACACUUGCCUCAACCGUUGCUGAUUGCUUUUAUCUUUCUCUGAUUUAAAAAAAAAAUAGUGCCUUUAAAAACGUUCUGAUGAACCUGGGGCUGAGAGGACAAUGUUGUUCCCUCUCAUGAUCUCUGCCUGCAGCCAGACAUCUUUAUUUGAGGCAGAUGUUUUCCCUGGCUGGUAGGCAGAUGGGGUCUAUAUCCCAAUGGAGGGGAAUUUGGGGGGACCUUCCUCCAGGCUGGGCCAGAGCAGAAUCUGUAAAUAGAUGGUUUCUCAGAAAGGUUACUGCAUGGUCCCUGAAGAGCGAGGAAGGGUGGGAGAGAGAGAGAGGGAGAGGGAUUGGAGGAGGCUGGCUUGAGGAUAAUUGUUGACAGCCCUCUUUGCACACAAAAUUGAAAAUGG